rnacentral:rRNA from 1 species
AUUGAACGCUGGCGGCAGGCUUAACACACGCAAGUCGAGCGGAGAUGAGGUGCUUGCACCUUAUCUUAGCGGCGGACGGGUGAGUAAUGCUUAGGAAUCUGCCUAUUAGUGGGGGACAACAUUCCGAAAGGAAUGCUAAUACCGCAUACGUCCUACGGGAGAAAGCAGGGGAUCUUCGGACCUUGCGCUAAUAGAUGAGCCUAAGUCGGAUUUGCUAGUUGGUGGGGUAAAGGCCUACCAAGGCGACGAUCUGUAGCGGGUCGGAGAGGAUGAUCCGCCACACUGGGACGGAGACACGGCGCGGACUCCGACGGGAGGCGGCAGUGGGGAAUAGUGGACAAUGGGGGAACCCUGAUCCAGCCAUGCCGCGUGUGUGAAGAAGGCCUUAUGGUUGUAAAGCACUUUAAGCGAGGAGGAGGCUACUGAGACUAAUACUCUUGGAUAGUGGACGUUACUCGCAGAAUAAGCACCGGCUAACUCUGUGCCAGCCGCCGCAGUAACAC